AACAUGUCUUUUUAUCCCUAGUAAUAUGACUCAUUUGUCUUUUUUGUGAACGUAAUCAAUAGUAAAAUCAACAGGGAGGGAAAAAGAGUAAAAACACGAAAGAUGGACAAAAAGAAAGAUUAUUUUGGUGCAACACAGAAAAGUCACUAGUAUAUAAAUUGUGGGAGAAAAGCGAAGAAGCCUUUUUAAAAAAUAAAAAAAAUUCACCUCCAAUGUUUCUGUUCCUCCAUAUCAUGUAGAG